rnacentral:lncRNA from 1 species
GUCUCGAAGCUAAAUACACUCCUCCAUAUCGUGGUCGUGGUCACGAUGAUAGAGGCAGAACUUGUUCAGGUUGUACUUUUCGGGAUGCGAGCGCAUCCUCUCCGGUCUUGGGAGCUGCUUCCUAACCUCCAUCAGCACUUGAGUUUUUGAUGCAUUGAGAGGGACGUAGCUGUGAAAUCUCCCGGGAGGAGAGCCUCGCUGAACUCGACGAUCUGGGCUUCUCUGUUUACGAGCUCGGGGAGGAGUCCGAGCGUGCCUGUGCCCGGGAGGAGUUUGAG